CAGAUGGAUGUCAUGGGGCACAGGCCAUGAUUUAAAAUAACUCUGAUCACCAUGAGACUAACAGGUUGUUGAAUUUCUUCACUGGCCUCACUAAGAAACCCCAAAGCCCGCUGUUCUCAGACUACUGUGAUGUCCGGAGACUCCUUCUUCCUCCUUGAGGUGUUACCCCUCACUCACUCACUCAUCAUCUAUAUACCGCUUUAUCCUGUGUACAGGGUCACAGAGGGCCUGGAGCCUAUCCCAGGAGACUUAGGGUAUGAGACGGCGUACACCCUGGAUGGGGUGCCAAUCCAUCACAGGGAACACACACUCAUUCACACACACUAUGGGCAAUUUUGGAAAUAGCAGUCAGUUUAAUCUGCAUGUCUUUAGACUGUGGGAGGAAACCGGAGUACCCGGAGGAAACCCUCCGAUCAUGGGGAGAACAUGCAAACAUCAUGCACACAGACCCUGAGGCGGGAAACAAACCCGGAACCUGGAGGUGCAGGCUGACAGUGCUAACCCCUACGCAACUUUAUACAGACGGAGGAUUUAUGGGAAGUGGUGGCUCAGCGCGUUAAGACUUUGCGACACCUAUCGGAAGGUCGGCGGUUUAAGCCCCAGCUCCA